rnacentral:tRNA from 2 species
GGGCCGUUAGCUUAGUUGGUAGAGCGCCACUUUUGCACAGUGGAGGUCGUCGGUUCGAAUCCGACACGGUCCACCA